CUGGACUGUAACUGACGUUGAGGCGCGAAAGUGUGGGGAGCAAACAGGAUUAGAUACCCUGGUAGUCCACACCGUAAACGAUGGAUACUAGGUGUAGGCGAGAUAUCGUCUGUGCCGGCGCAAACGCAAUAAGUAUCCCACCUGGGGAGUACGGCCGCAAGGUUGAAACUCAAAGGAAUUGACGGGGGCCCGCACAAGCAGUGGAGUAUGUGGUUUAAUUCGACGCAACGCGAAGAACCUUACCAAGACUUGACAUAUACAUGAAAAACUAAGAGAUUAGUUCCCUCUUCGGAGCGUGUAUACAGGUGAUGCAUGGUUGUCGUCAGCUCGUGUCGUGAGAUGUUAGGUUAAGUCCUGCAACGAGCGCAACCCUCGUGAUUAGUUGCCACCUGGUGGAACUCUAAUCAGACUGCCGUAGUUAAUACGGAGGAAGGUGAGGAUGAUGUCAAAUCAUCACGUCCCUUAUGUCUUGGGCUACACACGUACUACAAUGGGUGUUACAGAAAGAAGCGAAACCGCGAGGUGGAGCAAAACUUUAAAAAGCACCCCUAGUUCGGAUUGGAGGCUGCAACCCGCCUCCAUGAAGCUGGAAUGCUAGUA
rnacentral:rRNA from 1 species